rnacentral:rRNA from 1 species
UGCGUAGGCGGCGCGGAAAGUUGGGUGUGAAAUCCCUCGGCUCAACCGAGGAAUUGCGCCCAAAACUACCGUGCUCGAGGGAGGUAGAGGUGAGCGGAACUUAGGGUGGAGCGGUGAAAUGCGUUGAUAUCCUAAGGAACACCGGUGGCGAAAGCGGCUCACUGGACCUUUUCUGACGCUGAGGCACGAAAGCUAGGGGAGCAAAACGG